UCGGGAAUUUUGGGCAAUGGGCGAAAGCCUGACCCAGCAACGCCGCGUGAAGGAUGAAGUAUUUCGGUAUGUAAACUUCGAAAGAAUAGGAAGAAUAAAUGACGGUACUAUUUAUAAGGUCCGGCUAACUACGUGCCAGCAGCCGCGGUAAUACGUAGGGACCAAGCGUUGUUCGGAUUUACUGGGCGUAAAGGGCGCGUAGGCGGCAAUUCAAGUCAUCUGUGAAAUCUCCGGGCUUAACUCGGAACGGUCAGAUGAUACUGCUUUGCUAGAGUGCAGAAGGGGCAAUCGGAAUUCUUGGUGUAGCGGUGAAAUGCGUAGAUAUCAAGAGGAACACCUGAGGUGAAGACGGGUUGCUGGGCUGACACUGACGCUGAGGCGCGAAAGCCAGGGGAACAAACGGGAUUAGAUACCCGCGUAGUCCCUGAGCGGGCUGGCAAGGCGCAU
rnacentral:rRNA from 1 species